AGAGCUUGCUUUAAAGAAGUUAGCGGCGGACGGGUGAGUAACACGUGGGCAACCUGCCUGUAAGACUGGGAUAACUUCGGGAAACCGGAGCUAAUACCGGAUAAUAUAUAGUACCUCCUGGUACUAUAUUGAAAGAUGGCCUCUAGCUAUCACUUACAGAUGGGCCCGCGGCGCAUUAGCUAGUUGGUGAGGUAACGGCUCACCAAGGCAACGAUGCGUAGCCGACCUGAGAGGGUGAUCGGCCACACUGGGACUGAGACACGGUCCAGACUCCUACGGGAGGCAGCAGUAGGGAAUCUUCCACAAUGGACGAAAGUCUGAUGGAGCAACGCCGCGUGAGCGAUGAAGGCCUUCNGGUCGUANAGCUCUGUUGUUAGGGAAGAACAAGUGCGAGAGUAACUGCUCNCACCUUGACGGUACCUAACCAGAAANNCNCGGNUNANUACGUGNNNNNAGCCGCGGUAAUACGUANGUGGCAAGCGUUGUCCGGAAUUAUUGGGCGUAAAGCGCGCGCANGCGGUUUCUUAAGUCUGAUGUGAAAGCCCACGGCUCAACCGUGGANGGUCAUUGGAAACUGGGAGAC
rnacentral:rRNA from 1 species